AUUAAACCAGACAUUUCUGGGCAGCGAACAAGCGGCAUUGGCUGAUUAGAAACACUCAGUCCUGUCUACGUAUGUUUGAGAAGAAAUCUCCUGUCUUUCUGCUCAGAAGCAAAAUGAAGACAUCACGUUCUAAGUGCUUUUUCAACUGAACUUCGAACUAAAGAGUCUCAAUUUCUGCAGAUCUGUGGCCCAAGCCAUUUACUAUGGCACGUAUUACAGUUGCUCCUGUCAUUCUGAUGGUAACUUUUUUCCAGCAUAAGAUACUAUUUUCCACUAGCCUGGAAAGUGGACAACCAGAUGUAGUGGAUGGUCUUGGAGCACAUAAUGUUCUGUGGAUUACCAAGCAUGGGUCAAGAGUUAUCUUAUCCUGGAACAAUAACCUGACAAAAGAAGAAACUAAGAAGUAUACUGUGAAGUAUAUUUUGAGUUAUAAAUUCUUCAAUACAACUCAUGAAAAGAAAGUAAGUCGUUCAAUGGUUACAUGUAGUUUAAAGUGAAAUCAGAUAUUGCUUCAUUCAGUAGAUGAAUUUGCAUAAUUUCCCUUUCAAUACUUAGUACCAUCUGCCAUCAUGCAAUUCCUUCUUCCUCUUCUUAGGAAAGACUGCGCGAAAAGAAAAAGGUAAUACCUCUUGAGUUACAUUCUGGUUUUAAUGCUAAAGUUAAAACACAACUUUUCGCAAAAGAAACAGAAGAUGUAAUUAAGGAGAGUGACUGGAC
rnacentral:lncRNA from 1 species